ACUGUACUAAACUAACUAAAGUGGGGGAUAGUGAGGGGAUAAAUUUCCUUAAGGAACUCGGCAAAAUCCCAAUGGCCCACCAGGGCAUGUAACCUCCACCCUAACGGGUGGCGGUUACUUGUAUUGUAACACGGGCCUCGACUGUUUACCAAAAACAUAGCCCUCGGCCAAUAUGAAAAUAGAAGUAUGGAGGGUGAGGCCUGCCCAAUGGUUGUAUCUAAAAGCGGCUGAUGAAAGUCGACCUCGUAAGGACAAUUGAAUGGCCGCGGUAACACUGACCGUGAUAAUGUAGCGUAAUCAAUAGCCAAUUAAUUGUUGGCCAGUAUGAAUGGCGCCACGAAGGCCCCACUGUCUUAAGGAAAUUCCCAGUGAAAUUGAAUUCGUAGUGAAGAUGCUACGUCCAAUUUGUUAGACGAAAAGACCCCGUUGAGCUUUACUGGGGCACUUACACGGCCCCGGCCCCGGCCUUCGAGACUUAAAGGCCUGCAGGCCUUACCUGCAGGGACCAUACCUAGGGACCGGCGGAAUUUGAAUGGGCGGCUUAGACUAUGUGGCAGCCCCCGUCGGGGCAGAUGAAACCCCACUCCCCCAUGUCAAAGGGGCUAACCCCCCCUUGGGGGGGACAGUGUAAGUAGGACAGUUUGGUUGGGGCGACCGCCUUUUAGAGAGUAACGAAGGUGCGCUUAAGGUGCGCAAUUAAUGACUGAAGCCUGACUGCGAGGGGGACACCCCGAGCAGACACCCCAAAGCCCGCCCGCCUUAUGGGAGGGCGGCGGUGGGGUGGGCCAUAGUGACCCGUUAAUUUAGAGUGGAAUAGUUAACGAUCAACGAAUAAAAGUUACCACGGGGAUAACAGCGUAAUAUCGUUAGAGAGUUCACAUCGACGACGAUGUUGCGAACUCGAUGU
rnacentral:rRNA from 1 species